rnacentral:rRNA from 1 species
AGGACGAACGCUGGCGGCGUGCCUAACACAUGCAAGUCGCACGAGUCCACCUCGCAAGGGGUGAGGCGAGUGGCGGACGGGUGAGUAACACGUGAGCAAUCUGUCCCGGUGCGGGGGACAACCCGGGGGAAACUCGGGCUAAUACCGCAUGGUCGGCCGGAACAUAAGUUCUGGUCGGGAAAGGUGGCCUCGUUUACAAUGCUACCGUGCCGUGGAGGAGCUCGCGGGCUAUCAGCUAGUUGGUGCGGUUACGGCGCACCAAGGCAACGACGGCUACGGGGUCGUGAGAGGACGACCCCGGCACAUUCGGAACUGAGACACGGUCCAGACGUCCGUACGGGACGGACAGGCCAGGUUGGGAACGUUUUUUAGGGGAC